rnacentral:other from 1 species
CUCGGCCGGGAGUCGCGCCAGUCGGUGCCCCCAGCGGAGCGCGGUCGGCCUCAUUCUCAGAGAUCAUCUGUCCAGAGUGUGGCCAGAGGGCAUGUGGGAUCCACCAGGGGCGCCGCCGCCGGCGCUCGCAGGCCGCGGGUGAAGAAGAAAGUGCGGCCUCGCUCAGCCCGGAGCGAAGAAGUGGCCGGGAGCGAAGACGUGACCGGGAGCGAAGAGGUGACUGAGAGCGAAGAAGUGACUCUAAGCGAAGAGGUAGCCCUAAGCGAAGAGGUG